rnacentral:rRNA from 1 species
GCUGGCGGCGUGCCUAAUACAUGCAAGUCGAACGAGAGCGACCGGUGCUUGCACUGGUCAAUCUAGUGGCGAACGGGUGAGUAACACGUGGGUAACCUGCCCAUCAGAGGGGGAUAACAUUCGGAAACGGAUGCUAAAACCGCAUAGGUCUUCGAACCGCAUGGUUUGAAGAGGAAAAGAGGCGCAAGCUUCUGCUGAUGGAUGGACCCGCGGUGCAUUAGCUAGUUGGUGAGGUAACGGCUCACCAAGGCCGUGAUGCAUAGCCGACCUGAGAGGGUGAUCGGCCACAUUGGGACUGAGACACGGCCCAAACUCCUACGGGAGGCAGCAGUAGGGAAUCUUCCGCAAUGGACGCAAGUCUGACGGAGCAACGCCGCGUGAGUGGAGAAGGUUUUCGGAUCGUAAAACUCUGUUGUUAGAGAAGAACAAGUGCUAGAGUAACUGUUAGCGCCUUGACGGUAUCUAACCAGAAAGCCACGGCUAACUACGUGCCAGCAGCCGCGGUAAUACGUAGGUGGCAAGCGUUGUCCGGAUUUAUUGGGCGUAAAGCGAGCGCAGGCGGUUCCUUAAGUCUGAUGUGAAAGCCCCCGGCUCAACCGGGGAGGGUCAUUGGAAACUGGGGAACUUGAGUGCAGAAGAGGAGAGUGGAAUUCCAUGUGUAGCGGUGAAAUGCGUAGAUAUAUGGAGGAACACCAGUGGCGAAGGCGACUCUCUGGUCUGUAACUGACGCUGAGGCU